AUUCUCUUUUAUAGUGUAGAGCGUCGACUGGUAACUGGCCUUUCCGCCAGAAAUAAUAUGCUUACCUUCAGGAGGAUGCUUUAGUUCAGUGCCAACUUCAAUCUCUUUAUUCAAAUACAUGUAAAAUGCAGAAAUGCUUUUGAGACAACUACUGAACCAAUUUAAAUGAAAUUUGUUGCACAUGAGAGAAAGUUAAAUCUAAGUCAUUCUAGGGCAGCACAAUUUCGAUUGAGGACCUUGAAUAUUUAGGAAAAAAUUGCUGAAAGUCAGUAAGCUUAAAAAAUAUAUAAGCACGAAGUUUACAAUUUCAUAGCUUUUUGUAUCAACUUGUAAACUUCAUGCACAAGUCUUUUUAAUUUUGCAAUUUUCAAAAUUUCCUGCAACAAAAAAUUGCCCCCUGAAACAGCCGCUACAUUUCAGCUUUUUUUUUUCUUCUUUUACAUCGAGCCAACCUCAUCGAAUUCUGUGCGCUGACUUCAAUGAAAAACUAAUUCUCUGUUCCCAUGUAUUCAGAUAGGAGCUCCCGAGAUAAAACUGCCUCCAAGUCAGGUGGAAAAGUAAAGUAUUAGCAACUUUCUUACAUCUACACUCUCCUUAUUGGUAUGUAGUGCAAUUAAAUUCUGCUUCUGCAUUACUUGUGUUGAUAGCAUGCUUGUUCCAAAUUGUUAUUUGUUCCUUUUGCAAAUUUUCACUUCGUUCACAGAACUUUCCAAAAGCGGACCAUCUCCAAUAAAAUAAAGCACUAAUUACUUUCAUGCUGAAGAUUCAUAACUCUUACAAAUUGACGUGGUUUCUACCUGGUGAUCUUCACUGCACUAAAGAGUUAUGAGCUAGGUACUAGGGUAUCCCAGCAACAUCAUGAGCAAGCAACACCAUCUUCUCUCAAAAUUCGUUAUAACCUUACUUCACUCUGCAAAAUGCUUAAAGCAUAAAAAUAUCACUCCUUUUUUAUUUUUACGUCUUAUAGUACACGCUACAUUUAACCUUGUGCAUAUUAAACAAUGAACCUCGUCUUCUCCCAUCUAGUCAUCCCUGGCUCAAGACCAUGUGACUGCCAGGUCAGCAAGGCAAAUAAAGGAAGUGUACCAUACAUGGAACAGGACGCUGAAAAAUUUCAAGAUAAAAUAUGCUCUGUUGUAGUUUAACCCCCCCCCCCUUCCUACAUGACAAAAACUUGGUUACAUAUCAAGGUAGCAUCAGAAAAUAUUAAAUUUCUUUUCUGAUUGAAAUUAAACCUGAAAAGUAUUCCAUCAAGUGUAGAGGGCAGAAGAGCAUUAGCAAAUACCAUAGCUUUCAAGAUUUUUCACAGUGCCUAUAGGUUGCCUUGAUGCUGCCUCCAAACUCUCAUGUACUGAAGCAUGCACACACAUUAUACCUCCAUUGACACCGAAGUCCCACUCAAAAGUCUCUGGCCACCGCAAUUCAUCCUGCAUGUACCGCUGACAAGGUGUACAUCUUUGGAGAAGUUAUUCCUGAUGCAAGCAUCUGAUGGGCUAGAAAACUAUAAAUUUCGUUAUGUCACCAAUAGCCAAAACACAAAUUAUUAUUCCUGCUUGCAAGUGACACAAAGUGACUGCUGUUACUGAACAGCGUACCGUGGCAUUCAACUGAACAAUGAUCUUGAGCGUCACUUACAUGAAUAAUCAUUCGCUUGUAUGGCUGGGGUCCUAGGUCAUGUGAAUUGCAGUGGAACUCCUUAGUGUAGUGACUGACUUGGGGCUGCUCAAUACGUUUUUUUUUUGUCAUGCCACAAUAAUGUCCGCCAAAUAAAAGAAAAUGUUUCUUUCUAA